AUAUCUACACUCAAAAAAAUAUAUAUAUAUCUGCAUCUAUCUCCAUAGCCGUCCCCUUUCUCUCGCGAUCUAUACUAUCUAUCCUCGAUUUGCAAAUCCCCUUUCUCUCAAAUUUCCAAGCCUGACCCAUGCCUUUUUCUCUCCAAACCCAACCCUUCUACCGAAGCCACUGAUUUCUGAAAUCUCCACCAUUGAGGAGCAGCGGAGGGUUGAAGCGAUGGUCAGCGCAACGUUAGAAAGGAGAUAGCGGCACAGCUGAUUGAAAAGUUCCCUGAGUUUUAGGCUGCGCAGUGCCCCUGUAAAGUCCACCACAGAUGGGCGUUGAGACUCAACAAGGAUUCGCUCCUUUCUCCAAGCCCUAACCAUAGCUCCCUCUCUCAUUCGAAGUCCUAACCCCUCCCUCCUAUGCGAAGGACACUUUGGCGUCAAACCGAAGACCUAAUUUAUCGUGUGUGCAUCGAUAAAUUUUGAGGUUUGUAUUUUCAUCCCCUGUAAAUUGUUAUCUUCAUCAAAUUGAUACUCAAAUAGGUAUGACAUGACUUUAGUUUAUUCAAUUAGGGUUUCUUAUAAAUUCCAUGUCUUAAUGUGUACUGAGUAAACCUUUUUUUUUUUUUUUUGCAAUGCCUAUAUUGAUUCUUUCUAUAGGAUGUUCAUGAUUUUUUUGUUUUCUCUAUUUCUUUAUCAUUUGCUUGCGUCACAUGAGGAAAUUAUACUUUCUAUUUUUUUUUUUUUUUUGUUUCGAUUUCGGAAUAAAAUCCCGCAGCAUUUCAGUAAAUCUAGACUGUGUAUAGUUAUUAUAUAGCCAUUGUCUUAGAACAAUCAAGUGAAUCGUAAAAUUUCUGGUUAAGAAAUAAAUGUGCCUAAGCAGUGGAACUGUUAACUGUUAUCAUCUGCCAGAAGUGUAAUUUAUGUCUGAUGUGGGUGCACUAGACUUUUUAGUUGUCACCUUAUUGAUGUCUGCUCAUCCAUUUUCAGUCGGCUUUUUUUCUUUGUUAAUCGUCGUCAUCAUACACUUUUUGCCCUUUUGCUUUCAUUUUUUAUAUAUAAUUAUUUGUAAGCUAAAAAUACUUGUAUCAGAAACUAGGAUGUGGAUUUUGGUUAAUUCUCAUCUAAAAUAAUGUUAUGACCCUGUUUUUCUCAUUGAGAGAUGAAAUUUGGGAGCUACUGCUUAUGGCGUCGUGAACAUAGGGAAAAAAUGAAAGACUUUAGUAAAGAAGAUGAAGGACCUACUAUAUUUGGCUCGGGCUUACUUUCCUAGUAUUGCAAAGCUUGCAGCACAUGACAAGCUAUCACGUGAAAUGAAGCAAAAUAUUCAGGAGUUUGAACGUAUUCUCAGUGAAGCUACAACAGAUAAAGAUUUCCCACCACAAUCAUAGGAAAAACAAAUAAAAUUGGGGUGGGACCAAAAGAAGCAAGUGACAGGUACAUCAAUGAGUAUCAUGGUAACAUGAAACAAAUUCAGUGCCUUCCUCCUACAGAAGAGCCAGGGGUUACUGAUCAUAUAGAGCAGAUAAAAAACAUGAUCCAUCAGGUUUGUCUUCACAUUUGCCGUAGGUGCUGGACCAGUCCCUAGUCUCCUCCUAUCAGAAAUAUUCCCUAACCGAAUUAGAGCAAAGGCAAUGGCAAUCUACAUGGCAGUGCACUGGGUCAAAGCUAGGAUUGCGGGUUGCGGUUGACAUUACUUUUUUUUGUUGCCACUAUAUUUUUUGUAUGGCUCAUGAAGAAGUUGCAAGAAGAUAUGAAGAAUUUUUGUUUUAUUUUGAUUAACUAAAUAUAUAAGGUUUGGAUCAUGUACUUUUUUGAAAUUUGUAUAUGGUUAAUUUUUGUAUAAAACAAUGACUUGAAUUUGGUUUUAUAUAUAUAUAUAUAUAUGAUGUUAUUGGUCAGUUUUAAA